AACGAACGCUGGCGGCAUGCCUAACACAUGCAAGUCGAACGAGACCUUCGGGUCUAGUGGCGCACGGGUGCGUAACGCGUGGGAAUCUGCCCUUGGGUUCGGAAUAACAGUUAGAAAUGACUGCUAAUACCGGAUAAUGUCUUCGGACCAAAGAUUUAUCGCCCAGGGAUGAGCCCGCGUAGGAUUAGCUAGUUGGUGAGGUAAAGGCUCACCAAGGCGACGAUCCUUAGCUGGUCUGAGAGGAUGAUCAGCCACACUGGGUCUGAGACACGGCCCAGACUCCUACGGGAGGCAGCAGUGGGGAAUAUUGGACAAUGGGCGAAAGCCUGAUCCAGCAAUGCCGCGUGAGUGAUGAAGGCCUUAGGGUUGUAAAGCACUUUAAGCGGGGAGGAAGGUUCGCUACUUAAUACGUAGCGGAAUUGACGUUACCGCAGAAUAAGCACCGGCUAACUCUGUGCCAGCAGCCGCGGUAAU
rnacentral:rRNA from 1 species